GUAGAAUCAUCUCUGGAAAUCGUGUGGCACGGUGUACCACAACUCUAACUCAUUGAUCAUGGAGCCAAGUGGCAUGACCAAGAGUGUAACGCUGUCUUCAGACCAAGCACGCGACACGCAUCAAAAUGCGCCACAGGACCUCUCAACUUGCUGAGACGCAAGUCCAUCACAGACCUGAAAACCACAUGAAAACCAGACGCUCAAAUCACACUUGGUCUGAAUUUCCCAUAAGAUUGCUCCGCCCACGCAGGGUCAUAUAAUGCAUUCCCAGUUGAGUCUGUGUUAUAAGAAUUAUUAUUCUGAAGUCACUAUGGCCUCACACCACUCGGACAGAGGAGGCCUGGAGACCUGAUGUCUGU